UCCAACCACGGAUAUGCUAAUCACCUGGAGCAGAGGCAACAACAGCUUCAUCGUUGCCGACCCUUUAGAUUUCUCUCUGAGGAUUUUACCUGCUUACUUCAAGCACAAUAACUUCUCUAGCUUCGUCCGCCAACUCAACACCUACGUAAGUAUACAACAAACCAGUUUAUGUAUAGAUAUAUAUACGUAUGUGUAUAUAGACCUCUGGUUUUUCAUGUUUGGAAUUAAUAUAUACAUAUAUUGAUUGGUGUAAAUGGACACAGGGAUUCAAGAAGGUGGAUUCAGACAGAUGGGAGUUCGCCAACGAGUAUUUUUUGCGAGGGCAGAAGCACUUACUGAAGAACAUAAUGAGGAAGAAGCAUGCCAAGAGCCCGUUCGCGAUGCAAAUGAUAAUGAAGAGCGGAGAAUAUAAUCUU
rnacentral:lncRNA from 1 species